rnacentral:tmRNA from 1 species
GGGGCUGACUGGUUUUGACAGCGGGUAGAAGAGAUGAGUAAGCAUGCCGGGUUUUGAUUGUUGACCUGUAAAAAAUAAUAAUCACAUUUAUAAUUGGCGAAAAUAACUACGCUCUUGCUGCGUAACCGAAUCAAGUAGGUUACACUUUAUCCCGAUGCCAGGCAUUGGGACGGGACAUCGCCCGGAUGCUAAUGCUUUGAAGCGGUCCGAAUUUGCGGUGCAAGUAAAUCGAAGCUAGUAUAAGUGGUGCUCUGACACUCUUGCGAAAAUAAAAGAGAUAAGGUAAACAUUGGUGGCCUCGAUCCGGUGCUUACUCGAAAAUUAAAUCAUGGCUAAACAUGUAGAAAGCUUGUAACUUCCUCGUUUGGACGCGGGUUCGACUCCCGCCAGCUCCACAC